AUGUUAGCACUCGUGGACUCGGGCAAUAGUCAUAGUUUCGUGGAUGAAAAUUUUGCCAAGCGUGCUUCGUUGGAUUUGGUCGCUGUUCCAGCAGUGAAAGUUACAGUUGCAAAUGGUCAAACUAUGGAAUCCAAGUUUCAAACCCCUAAUCUGACUUGGUGGGCACAGGGUCACACUUUUGUGACACCAAUGAGAGUGCUACAACUGGGGGCCUAUGAUGUGGUGCUGGGAAUGGACUGGCUUAAGUGUCACAGUCCGAUGAUUUGCGAUUGGGAGGGCAAAUCAUUACAGUUUGCCCAUGGUGAUACUAUCAUUUCCCUUCAAGAUAUGCAGCCUGUUUCUACUAUGCAAUUGCAAGCUAUGUCAGUAGAGCAAUUGGACAAAGCUCUGCUUGGCAAUGAUAUUUGGGCUAUGGCCAUGGUUGAUCCUUCUUCAGGUGAUGUUGUUUCCACGCCUGGCUCCUAUCCAGAAGAUCUGACUGCAGUUUUAACAGACUUUCAAGAUGUGUUUGAAACUCCAAGUGGCCUGCCUCCACAUAGAGUAUAUGAUCAUGCAAUCACGUUGGAAGUGGGUCAUAACCCUCCAAACUCUCGUCCUUACCGAUACUCGCCACAACAAAAGGACGAGAUUGAAUGA
rnacentral:rRNA from 1 species